AUUGAACGCUGGCGGCAGGCCUAACACAUGCAAGUCGAGCGAGCGGCGGACGGGUGAGUAAUGUCUGGGGAACUGCCUGAUGGAGGGGGAUAACUACUGGAAACGGUAGCUAAUACCGCAUACCAUCAGAUGUGCCCAUAUGGGAUUAGCUAGUAGGUGGGGUAACGGCUCACCUAGGCGACGAUCCCUAGCUGGUCUGAGAGGAUGAUCAGCCACACUGGGACUGAGACACGGCCCAGACUCCUACGGGAGGCAGCAGUGGGGAAUAUUGCACAAUGGGCGCAAGCCUGAUGCAGCCAUGCCGCGUGUAUGAAGAAGGCCCUAGGGUUGUAAAGUACUUUCAGUCGGGAGGCGUUACCGACAGAAGAAGCACCGGCUAACUCCGUGCCAGCAGCCGCGGUAAUUC
rnacentral:rRNA from 1 species